UGACGAAACUGAAAACUAACCUACUGAACUUGAACACUACAGCAGCACUAAAGGAUUAUUACAUCAUCCCUUCCCACUGCCCUUAGCCGCCGCCGCCGCCGCCGCCUCCCUCCUCCGCACCGUCUCCCACCUGGUGCCGCCGCUACCUCUCCUCCCUUCCCUACUCAACCUCGCCGUCUACCUGCGCUGACGCGGCCACCGCUGCCGUUGCCCCUCCUCCCCCACCCUCCCUAAGCUAAUGACGGUGGGGACGCGAUGCGCGAGGAGAGGGCGCGGGGGAAGCGGCGGUAGGACGGGCGGCACGGAAGAGGAGGAGGCGGUAACCGCGUCGGUGCAAGCGGUGACAACGCGGGGGAGGAAUAAUGCCCUUGUCAACCCGAGCCAGACGCGCUCCAUCUGCUCCGCAGGGCUACGCAUGGCCGCCGUGCCGCUGCCGGACGGCGCCGUCGUGCACUUCUGUCUCCCGCGCGCCGGCCCGGCCCACCCCCGCAAGGUGGUGAAGUUACAGCAGCGGCGCCGGCGCGGCCUAGCGCGACCUGCAGCGGCAGGGCAUCGCUGCGGCAGAGAGCGCUGGAGCCGGGCAUGGCUUGAUGCGAGGUACGGCAGCCGGCGCCGGCGCGCGGGGCGUGACCUGGGGCGUGCUGCGGCGGCCGAUGAUGAACAGAUUCUGGUUGCAUCUUGUUCUCUUGGAAACAAGCGACAGCAAUCUGAAGUGUGUGCCUGUUUCCCCGAGCCAUUAUUUAAGAGCUCGAUGGCUCCAGUGAGUUUGCCUGGGCUCCUCUGACAGUGGUUUUGCUAAAUUGUUCAUGGAUGUGUUGCUCAGAGCAUAUCUGAUCCAGUAGAUGGGGAAAACAAAUCGUGUUCACUUUUAAUUGAUGAGGAAGCCAAUUUGGCGCAAGAUGCAAUGCAAAUGGAACAAUCAAUGUUAUGAAGCAUUGACAUUGGUAGUGUUUUAUCUGUGAUCAACCUCAGGCAACUGCGUAUAUGUCGUAUUCCUGUUCUGUGCUCUUAUAGGAUGACUCUGAUGUGCCAGAUGGGAAGGCAAAGCAGCAGCCAAAACCCCUUAUGCACAGAGCAGCCCAAUUCAAAUGAUGAAAUGGAUUUAAGGGGCGUCAAAGCUGAUCAGCAAUUGCUGCCCCUUAAUUGCAAGCAGUGCAACUCCAAUAGGGGUCUUGAACCUUGUGACAUGGAAGAUAAGAAAGUUCCUUUGUCUCUCUCUUAUAAAAGGCAACCCCACUCUGUGGGAGCUGGUCUAAGCAAUAUGGGCAACACAUGCUUCCUAAAUGCAACUCUUCAGUACAUCACUCAUACGGUCCCACUGUCUCUUAAGCUUUGCUCAACUGAUCAUUCCACUCCAUGCUUAUGUAUGGGUAAUUUCGGGUAAUUAUUUUUUAUUGCCUGAAAAUUGAUUUUCAGAUGUUCUUCUCCAUAUUACUUUGCAUGAUUAGGAUUGUUGGUUACCUGCUGAUGACAAAGAUGGGUUCUGUUCUUUCUGUGCCCUCAAAGAAAACCGCAAAAUAUUAGCAUUUAAUUUGAUAACUUUGUUCAGUAGAUAAUCUAGAUAAUACUCUAGGUUCUUUAUGGGUUUGCUUCCUAGCAGUUUUGUUCACCAAAGAAAUGUAGAUAAAAUUGUGCACUUGAAAAGUUCACACAGUACAUCAUGUAGCGUCACGCUGGAUUGGUAAUUUGGUGUGGUGCUGGAGCUUGAUACCCCAUUUCCUGAUCUUCAGGUUACAACAUUUUAGUUUUGUGAGAGAUGUUGUAUGGGGUACAUGACCUGCUACCCGUUUAGCAAGUUUCCAUUUGGUCCCAAAGUGUCAUGCUCUCGACCGUAGCAACUUUUGAAAUACUGCUGUACAAUUUGCUUUUGGUUUUGCUCAUGUGAACUAACGCUACCUUUUAUUACAUGAAGGCACACUAUACUACUUAUACUAGAUAGGCAGACAACUAGACAGCUACAAAAUUGUGUAUUACGCUAAUACAAUGGUUUAGUAACUAGUAUAAGAGUACUAAAAUGUAUUGGGAGUGCAACAACUUGCAAGGUGGGUGCAAGUUAGUCACAAAUUUUGAAAAUUGAUCAAAGAGAGAAACAUGUAAAAUUAGUGGCAAUAGCUAGCAAUACAAGAAUGUGAGUAGAUUUGCUAACCCUCAUGUGGCCCUGUCUGCCUGGUUGGCGUCGACUAGGAUGAUUAGCCACUGUGGCAUGGAGUUUGACCAGUUUUGCAGCCAUAAAACAAAAAUAGUGCCUAUGUGAUCAGUUUCCAAGAUGUGUGACUAACUUGCACUCACCUUGCGAGUUGUUGCACCUCCAAUGCAUUUUACUCUUAGUAUAAAUAUAUUUGGCCAUUGUUGCUGGAGACUGAAUGGAUCAUUGCAAAAAGGACACUGCUAGUGCCCAGAUGCCCAAAGGGAAAUUUCCUAUUGGACACUCCAAAUAUCGUCUGCGACACUAGAGGACACCAUUUGCAAUGCCGUAGAUAACAAAAAGUACACAAAAGUAAUACAUCUUCAAUAAAAUAAUUAAAAUAUCAUUGCAUUAAAAAGAUUGAUAAAUAUGUGAGUUUGGAACGUAGGCAUUUUCUAGAACUAAAUUAAGAAAAAUGGACGAACAAUGUUUGGAUCUUAGAAGGUUGGAACGUUGGGAAAUGAUAGCUGCAACCUUUUGAGUCCAAGUUUGUAGCAAACUAGUAAGUGUGCAUGUGAAAUCCACAUGUCUAACAAUAUAAAUUGAAUAAUAUUGCAAUGCGAGCCGAUUUCUUUUUUAUUUUCACGAGAAUGUUGCAUGGCUGGUUUUCCCGAGAAAGUUACAGGUCAGAUAGAUUGACAAAGGCUUGAUUAUAGACCCUGGUGCAAGUCAUCCAGGCCAGUCACGUAGGACAGCACGAUAACUACGGAAAAUAUCAAAGAACAUGGAAUAAACUUGAGA